rnacentral:rRNA from 1 species
AUUGAACGCUGGCGGCAGGCUUAACACAUGCAAGUCGAGCGAGCGGCGGACGGGUGAGUAAUGUCUGGGCAACUGCCUGAUGGAGGGGGAUAACUACUGGAAACGGUAGCUAAUAACGCAUACCAUCGGAUGUGCCCAGUUGGGAUUAGCUAGUAGGUGGGGUAAAGGAUUACCAAGGCGACGAUCCGUAGCUGGUCUGAGAGGAUGACCAGCCACACUGGAACUGAGACACGGUCCAGACUCCUACGGGAGGCAGCAGUGGGGAAUAUUGCACAAUGGGCGCAAGCCUGAUGCAGCCAUGCCGCGUGUGUGAAGAAGGCCUUCGGGUUGUAAAGCACUUUCAGCUAGGAGGCGUUACUCGCAGAAGAAGCACCGGCUAACUCCGUGCCAGCAGCCGCGGUAAUAC